UGUGUUCAUUGGGACCUUUGUUGUUUUCAAUAAUAGACCCUUGUUUCUAAUAUUUUAUUAGUGCUCUGUAUAAUAUUAACUAAAUCUAGGAAAUGUUAAUGUGCUCUAAAUUGUAUGUUUCGUUUGACCACAUACACACUGUUUGGGCGCUAUUGAUAUGAUACGAGAUGGUUCAAACUCUGAACAAGAAGCACCAUAGAUCGUGUCAAGGCUGCUGAGUGAGUGUAUAGAACAUUAACUUCUUAAAAAUAUAUCCGCACAACUCCGUCUUACUGGAAAAGGUUAUAGUAAUUAUUUUGUGUUUGUCAGGGAGGAGUCGAGGGUCUCUAUGAUAUUCAUUUUUACUUAUUAACUUUCUUUCCUAUUGUUGAUAUUGGUAGAAUUAGGCUCCCGCUCAAAAUCCUACAAAUACUUGGAAUCCCCUUUUGGAAUUUUUGUAAUAAUAUGCUUUGCCUGUGAUAAAAUUUUCUUUUCACUAAAUAUUGAAAUGUUUGCAUGUUAUAGAUUUCUAUAAAUUUUAUAUCCAUAUAUUUCUUUUAAGUUGAAAGGUGCUUAGGAAGGAAACUAUUUACUAUUUUUAAAGAAACAAAAAAAAGAGAUAAUAAAGAAGAACGACAUGUGUGUAUAAUGCAUUUAGCCAUUUACUUCGAUUAGUCUCAUACCUAUUUUGUAAGAAAAUAUGUGAUUUUUUUUAUAUUUUUUGUUAUUUCACACAUGGUAUGUGUUUUUGGUGUACAAUAGGUUUGAACUUAGGACCUCAUGGAUACUAUCUCGAUCCCCCAACUCUAGGCCGACCCUAGUGGUUACACAUGAAAUUAUUCUCCUAGGAUUUGUUAAAGCCCUAUGAAUAAUAAAUAGAGUUCACAAUCUGGAAGAUGUUGAUCCGCAUAAAAAAGGGUGUUCUGCUGUUGCAGACCUGCUAUGAUGAAAGAAGUGACUUAUCUGCUGAAGUACAAGACACAUUAUUCCAUCAACAUGGACUUUGCAUGAAAAAAGGACAUGCACUUAAUGCAAGCAUUAAAAGAUCAAACGAGCUCAAGACUUUAGACAAAGAGUAUAGUAAAGAAUCCAACCAUUGUGAGACAACAAAUACUUGAAGAUGAAGACCAUAUAUAGAAGAAGCUUUGAAAAAACAAGACACAAAUCUACUUGCGAAUAGUUCAUUUAUUCUUUCUUGUAAAGAGCUCUCUGUAUAUUUUUGUAUAAAUACAAAGCUCUCAAAACACCUUGUAAACUUUUAGAGAAAAGACUAAAAGUGUUGAGUGAUAUAUCCAUCUAUAAGACAAUCAUACAAUAGUCAUUGUGCAAACUUCCAACAAAUAUUAUUGAUUUGUUUAGAGCUAGUAGUGGCUUGGUAGGACAAAGAAUAUUGGGUUUAAGUCAAGCUUGGGGUAGAGCUUGCAUGUGUAAGAGCUAGAAGUGGUAGUGAAAAAUACUUGUAACCUUGAUAAGUUAGUGGAAACUUGGUGAGUUACCAAGAAUUGGAGGUAGUCUCGGGUUUGAGAUGAACCAAUAUAAUUCUGUAUGUGCUUCCUUUUAUUACUUUAAUUGAAAAAGGGUUUGAAUUUGCUUUUA